CUCAGAAGUGGCAAAAUCCCCCAAACGACAUCGGAGUUUCCUAGGGAUCAAUGGCAUCGGUGACUGAGUCGCCGAGUUCUGUUCGAAAAGUGAUUGUUCAAUUAAAAGCAACUGCCGAUGCUCCUAUACUCAAGCAGAAUAAGUUCAAGAUACCUGGAACUGAUAAAUUUGCUAAGGUGAUUGACUUUUUGAGGAGACAACUUCACAGAGAGACUGUGUUUGUAUAUAUCAACAGCGCAUUCUCUCCAAACCCUGAUGAAUUGGUUAUUGAUCUAUUUAAUAAUUUUGGCGUUGAUGGUAAACUGCUGGUCAAUUAUGCUUGCUCCAUGGCAUGGGGCUAAUUAUCACUCAGGGAUAUGAUUUACUGCACUGUUCAUAACAUUUGUUCAUGCGAGAGUACAUGAUUUGUGGAUAGACUGAAGAUUACGAUAACCCAGAUGAAGAUUGGAAAUGGAAGAUUCACAUGUAUUUUAGAUCAUCAAUAUUUCGCACUGUGGGUGCUCAUUUCAUUGCCUUUAAUUCAUUCAGCGUACUGGGAUGGGGUACUUCAAUCAUUAAAUUUUAAUUCUACAGUUCUACAGAAUUUGAGUCCACAAGACGUGUACCCUUCUAAAUUAUCUAAAGUAUAA
rnacentral:misc_RNA from 1 species